rnacentral:tmRNA from 1 species
GGGGGCGUACUGGUUUCGACGGGGUCGUUGAGAUCAGGGAAGCGGGUAGAGGAUCCUCGUAGGCCUCUUUAAAAAACGGGGAACCGCUUAAUUGCGAAACAACCUACACUCGUAGCUGCUUAAACCAGUUACCGUCAGGCCAUCCGAUCUGCUGGAUGGAUCCCUGGCGUCAGACAGCAGACCUUACUCGUCGGCAGGUUAAAUGAGGCAACGGAUCAGGCAGCGCCUGGGGCUUGAUCUGUAUGAACAGGCUACCGGAUCACCAGCGCCUGUCAAUGGGCUCGGUGCCAGGGGAAUACUCCAAUCAUUGACUGCACCCGGAGAUGCUCUGGAGGAUAGGAUUUCGGACAGGGGUUCGACUCCCCUCGCCUCCACCA